AACGCUAGCUACAGGCUUAACACAUGCAAGUCGAGGGGCAGCAUGAACUUAGCUUGCUAAGUUUGAUGGCGACCGGCGCACGGGUGAGUAACACGUAUCCAACCUGCCGAUGACUCGGGGAUAGCCUUUCGAAAGAAAGAUUAAUACCCGAUGGCAUAGUUCUUCCGCAUGGUGGAACUAUUAAAGAAUUUCGGUCAUCGAUGGGGAUGCGUUCCAUUAGGUAGUUGGAGGGGUAACGGCCCACCAAGCCAUCGAUCAGUAGGGGUUCUGAGAGGAAGGUCCCCCACAUUGGAACUGAGACACGGUCCAAACUCCUACGGGAGGCAGCAGUGAGGAAUAUUGGUCAAUGGGCGCGAGCCUGAACCAGCCAAGUAGCGUGAGGGAUGACGGCCCUAUGGGUUGUAAACCUCUUUUAUGCGGGAAUAAAAUGUUUGACGUGUCAUACAUUGUAGGUACCGCAAGAAUAAGGACCGGCUAAUUCCGUGCCAGCAGCCGCGGUAAUACGGAAGGUCCAGGCGUUAUCCGGAUUUAUUGGGUUUAAAGGGAGCGUAGGCCGCAAGUCAAGCGUGUUGUGAAAUGCAGGGGCUCAACCUCUGGAUUGCAGCGCGAACUGGCAUGCUUGAGUACGCACGAGGUAGGCGGAAUUUGUGGUGUAGCGGUGAAAUGCUUAGAUAUCACGAAGAACUCCGAUUG
rnacentral:rRNA from 1 species